GUGUCGGUAGCGUAAUGGAUAUCGCAUUGGACUUCUAAUCCGAAGGUCGUGGGAUCGAAUCCCACGUGGGAUU